AUUGAACGCUGGCGGCAGGCCUAACACAUGCAAGUCGAACGAGUGGCGGACGGGUGAGUAAUGUCUGGGAAACUGCCCGAUGGAGGGGGAUAACUCCUGGAAACGGUAGCUAAUACCGCAUACCAUCGGAUGUGCCCAGAUGGGAUUAGCUAGUAGGGGGGGUAACGGCUCACCUAGGCGACGAUCCCUAGCUGGUCUGAGAGGAAGACCAGCCACACGGGAACGGAUACACGGUCCAGACUCCUACGGGAGGCAGCAGUGGGGAAUAUUGCACAAUGGGCGCAAGGCUGAUGCAGCCAUGCCGCGUGUAUGAAGAAGGCCUUAGGGUGGGAAAGUACUUUCAGCGAGGAGGCGUUACUCGCAGAAGAAGCAUCGGCUAACUCCGUGCCAGCAGCCGCGGUAAUUC
rnacentral:rRNA from 1 species